rnacentral:rRNA from 1 species
GACGAACGCUGGCGGCGUGCCUAAUACAUGCAAGUUGAGCGCUGAAGGUUGGUACUUGUACCAACUGGAUGAGCAGCGAACGGGUGAGUAACGCGUGGGGAAUCUGCCUUUGAGCGGGGGACAACAUUUGGAAACGAAUGCUAAUACCGCAUAAAAACUUUAAACACAAGUUUUAAGUUUGAAAGAUGCAAUUGCAUCACUCAAAGAUGAUCCCGCGCUGUAUUAGCUAGUUGGUGAGGUAAAGGCUCACCAAGGCGAUGAUACAUAGCCGACCUGAGAGGGGGAUCGGCCACAUUGGGAAUGAGACACGGCCCAAACUCCUACGGGAGGCAGCAGGAGGGAAUCUUCGGCAAUGGACGAAAGUCUGACCGAGCAACGCCGCGUGAGUGAAGAAGGUUUUCGGAUCGUAAAACUCUGUUGGUAGAGAAGAACGUUGGUGAGAGUGGAAAGCUCAUCAAGUGACGGUAACUACCCAGAAAGGGACGGCUAACUACGUG